GAUCCCAUUUGUGGUCCGAUUUUCAAUAGCUAUGGUCAGUUGUGCAGGAACACUCACCUGGUAAAAUCUGAUAUUAAUAACAGCACACUGGAGCGGAACAACAAGGGGUCUCCACAAUACAAGGCUCAGAGGAGAAGAGAGCUUUUGGCGGACAUCAUGUCUAACAUCUUUGUGCUGACUCAUUCCUCUGUUCUCACCGGGAAGAUUAAAGGUUCCAUCCCGCCUGUGCUAUUGAUCCUCUUAGUGCCGCCGACACAAACUACACGCAGACGUUUGAUCCGAGACAGACAGAUGUGCUCGAGACUAAAAGUGAUGGAGAAUUCUUGCCUACCGAGUCCCUCUGAGGUUUGAGGACUAUGGAUCACUUUGCUGCUUUCAUAGCUUACCUUGGGCAACUUAUUUGAUAAUAAACAUGAUGUGAGGCUCUGGAAAUGAAA